GACGAACGCUGGCGGCGUGCUUAACACAUGCAAGUCGAACGAUGAACCGGAGCUUGCUCCGGGGAUUAGUGGCGAACGGGUGAGUAACACGUGGGCAACCUGCCCCUAACUCUGGGAUAACUCCUCGAAAGAGGUGCUAAUACCGGAUAUGAACUGGGAAGACAUCUUCUUGGUUGGAAAGUUUUUCGGUUAGGGAUGGGCCCGCGGCCUAUCAGCUUGUUGGUGAGGUAACGGCUCACCAAGGCGACGACGGGUAACCGGCCUGAGAGGGCGACCGGUCACACUGGGACUGAGACACGGCCCAGACUCCUACGGGAGGCAGCAGUGGGGAAUAUUGCGCAAUGGGCGAAAGCCUGACGCAGCGACGUCGCGUGAGGGAUGAAGGUCUUCGGAUUGUAAACCUCUUUCAGCAGGGACGAAGCGAAAGUGACGGUACCUGCAGAAGAAGCACCGGCUAACUACGUGCCAGCAGCCGCGGUAAUACGUAGGGUGCAAGCGUUGUCCGGAUUUAUUGGGCGUAAAGAGCUCGUAGGCGGUUUGACACGUCGGAUGUGAAAACUCGGGGCUUAACUCCGAGCCUGCAUUCGAUACGGUCUAACUAGAGUGUGGUAGGGGAAACUGGAAUUCCUGGUGUAGCGGUGAAAUGCGCAGAUAUCAGGAGGAACACCGAUGGCGAAGGCAGGCUUCUGGGCCACCACUGACGCUGAGGAGCGAAAGCGUGGGGAGCGAACAGGAUUAGAUACCCUGGUAGUCCACGCCGUAAACGGUGGGCGCUAGAUGUGGGGACUAUUCCAUGGUCUCUGUGUCGCAGCUAACGCAUUAAGCGCCCCGCCUGGGGAGUACGGCCGCAAGGCUAAAACUCAAAGGAAUUGACGGGGGCCCGCACAAGCGGCGGAGCAUGCGGCUUAAUUCGAUGCAACGCGAAGAACCUUACCUAGACUUGACAUAUACGGAAAACAUGCAGAGAUGUAUGGUCCGAAAGGGCCGUAUACAGGUGGUGCAUGGUUGUCGUCAGCUCGUGUCGUGAGAUGUUGGGUUAAGUCCCGCAACGAGCGCAACCCUCGUUCUAUGUUGCCAGCGGUUCGGCCGGGGACUCAUAGAAGACUGCCGUGGUCAACACGGAGGAAGGUGGGGAUGACGUCAAAUCAUCAUGCCCCUUAUGUCUAGGGCUGCACGCGUGCUACAAUGGCUGGUACAAAGGGCUGCGAUACCGCAAGGUGGAGCGAAUCCCAAAAAGCCAGUCUCAGUUCGGAUUGGGGUCUGCAACUCGACCCCAUGAAGUUGGAGUCGCUAGUAAUCGCAGAUCAGCAAUGCUGCGGUGAAUACGUUCCCGGGCCUUGUACACACCGCCCGUCACGUCACGAAAGUCGGUAACACCCGAAGCCGGUGGCCUAACCGUAAGGAAGGAGCCGUCGAAGGUGGGAUCGGUGAUUGGGACG
rnacentral:rRNA from 1 species